rnacentral:misc_RNA from 1 species
AAGUCGUAACAAGGUUUCCGUAGGUGAACCUGCGGAAGGAUCAUUAAAAAAUAUAGAAUUAAUCUUCUGUAAACCCAAUCUGCGUAUUUCUACCUGUUGCUUUCGUGAGACUGUGAACGCAAGUUCCCUCUGGCGCUGUUUUUAGGAACAGCUGUUGGGGAGUGCUCACGGGAGGUAAUUAUAAACUCUGUUUUUUCUGAACUCAGUCUGAAAACUGUUUUUAAAUAAACUUUAAAACUUUCAACAACGGAUCUCUUGGUUCUC